rnacentral:lncRNA from 1 species
GUGUUACUUGGAAGAGCCUUAACUUUCCCAAUGGGAUUAAAUUUUGUUAUCGUUUUAUUUAUUAGCGUUUCACCUUGCUUCACUGAACAUGAGAGAAAACAGAGCUAUAAAAGUUCGCCGGAAGCAUUUUCAUAGUGGGCCUCUCCUCCUUGAAAAAAAUAAUUUUUGCCUUAAACUUCACAACUGCCUUAUGAAAACCCUUCAGGCUUAACUCUAAAGUCUGUGCAGGCAGAAUGGAGAUAAUGUUUUUAAAAACAUUCGCAGGCUUCCUCUUUUUUUGCCUUUUCCCGCACGCACGUGAGCCCAGGGUGUCCCUCUGCCACCAAGAGAUGUCGGAGAGUGAGACUUAGGAAGAUUCACUUGUUAGAGAAGAAAUGCAACCUCGAACAAAGACUUUUCAGUUGCUGACAUUUAAAUGGCAUUUCGCAAGAAGACAAUAGGCAAAAAUGCUUGAAAGUCUGUCGAAAACAAAGGCGAGUCUAAACUCCUUUGCUUCCCCUGAAUAUAUCAGAUGCUAGGCCCGGACCACAAAGGAGUCAUUCUCCCACAGUUCAUCGAAAAUAGUUUUGUCCGCCAGAAGGGAUUGCAGGGGUGCGGGGUGCAGAGCCAGCCCCAGAAGGCUGUGGGGUGGAUUGCUGAGCUCGAGUUGGAGCGGACGAGGGCCUGCCCGCUGCCUGCUCUGGAACCCGUGCGAAAUGCUUCCCCGGAGAUUUGCCGACGUGGCUCUUCACUGCUCUUGGCAUUUGGCGCUGCAGGCGAGCGUUCGCCUGGGAGUCUGAUUCUCUUUCCUUCGCAGGCAAACUAUAUUUUGCGUCUCUUUUGGAAAAUACUUAUUUUUAGCCUUAGAAGUCGAAUCCGUGUUUUUCAAUUUGUUUCCGCUUUCUCAAUGGUCCCGCCAACAUUGGCGAGGCAUUUUGAGUAAAAAAUUCACAUGAUUCUUUUUUGUUGUUGUUUAAAUUUAUUUUUUAAUGUUUCUUUUUGAGAGACAGAGAGACCGAGCACGAGUGGGGGAGGGGCAGAGAGAGAGGGAGACGCAGAAUCCAAAGCAGGCUCCAGGCCCCGAGCUGUCAGCACAGAGCCCGACGUGGGGCUUGAACCAUGAGAUCCUGACCUGAGCCGAAGUUGGACACUUAACCGCCGGAGCCAGCCAGGCGCCCCCAAAAUCCACAUAAUUGUUAAAAGUGGGGAAAUGUUCUCUAGGUACCUGUUUUUUUUUUCUUAUUCUCCAUCUGCUGGCUGGUUUCCUAACCCUCCUAUGCACGAAUAUGAGGUCCCUUUGGUCUACUCUGUAUGUCUCUUCUUUUAGAAAUUCUCUUCCGUGGUCUUUUUGCUUUGCACCCUGGAAUACUUAUUUACCCUUCUAAAUCAUUAUUUCCAUUUUGGGGAAUGUUUUCCCCACCAGUGCUUCUAAUAAGUUAAAAUUUUUUUGACAGUUAUGGUUUAUUUCUAAGAAGUCUUUCUUAUUUUUUAUAAAUAGUCCUUUCUAAUGACAAGAUUGAUUUAUUGCUGCCAUAUCCCUGAAAUGUUUAAAUCUUGUUAAAUUGUCCUCUACUGGGGCUGCUGGGUGGCUCAGUCGGGUAAGCGUCUGACUUCAGCUCAGGUCAUGAUCUCACUGUGAGUGAGUUCAAGUCCUGCAUUGGGUUCUCUGCUAUCAGCAUGGAGCCUGCUUCAGAUCCUCUGUCCCCCACUCUCUCUCUCUGUGCACCUCCCCUGCUCGCUCGCUCUCCUUCUCCAAAAUAAAGAAUUUAAAAAUAAAAAAAGACUUAAAAAA